rnacentral:tRNA from 1 species
AAAUGUAGCUUAUUAGAAAGCACCUCCCUUACGCUGAGGAAAGGCUUGUGCAAAUCAGGCCAUUUUGA